UACGUAGGGUGCAAGCGUUAAUCGGAAUUACUGGGCGUAAAGCGUGCGCAGGCGGUUGUGUAAGACAGAUGUGAAAGCCCCGGGCUCAACCUGGGAAUGGCAUUUGGGACUGCAAGGCUGGAGUUUGGCAGAGGAGACUGGAAUUCCUGGUGUAGCAGUGAAAUGCGUAGAUAUCAGGAGGAACACCGAUGGCGAAGGCAGGUCUCUGGGCCACUACUGACGCUGAGAAGCGAAAGCAUGGGGAGCGAACAGG
rnacentral:rRNA from 1 species